CAGAGUGAAAUGAAGGAAAGAAAACGCAAAGUGAUCAAACUAACAGAAGAAGAAAACUACAACUGUAGCAAAGGGUAUAAAAGACCAGUUCACUGUUAGCAGCAAAAGGAGUCCGGGAGAUACACUGAGGAUAUGAUCGCUGGUGUUCCCUCAUCUGUUGUUGCACACACACUUUCAAGCAAUUUCCACAUCUUCCUCCACUGCCAAGGAUCCCCCAUUGUCCAGAGCUCACUGAAGAAUUCAAAGACUCUCCUGAGAAUCCUGAAACUUCAAGUGGCUGGUGUGCAAAAUCCAAAGGGGAUUGCGCUGUCAUGGACCCUUACAGAAACUGAUCCAAAGUGUGUUUCCCUGCACAGUUACCACUUGUAUCUGUUCCAUCAAAACCUUAGUAACAAUUUUGCAUCACAUUGGAAGAAACCAGGCAAAAUAAGGGCGUUGCCACUUUCAAUAGGUUGCUGUGUAUCCCAAGUUAUUGCCAAAGAAGUACUGCUGUACCAUUGA
rnacentral:lncRNA from 1 species